UACGUAGGGGGCUAGCGUUGUCCGGAAUCAUUGGGCGUAAAGCGCGUGUAGGCGGUCCGGUAAGUCCGCUGUGAAAGUCGGGGGCUCAACCCUCGGAUGCCGGUCGAUACUGUCGGGCUUGAGUACGGAAGAGGCGAGUGGAAUUCCUGGUGUAGCGGUGAAAUGCGCAGAUAUCAGGAGGAACACCAAUUGCGAAGGCAGCUCGCUGGGACGUUACUGACGCUGAGACGCGAAAGCGUGGGGAGCAAACAGG
rnacentral:rRNA from 1 species